rnacentral:rRNA from 1 species
UAUUGGACAAUGGGGGGAACCCUGAUCCAGCGACGCCGCGUGAGUGAAGAAGUAUCUCGGUAUGUAAAGCUCUAUCAGCAGGGAAGAAAGAAAUGACAGUACCUGGACAAGAAGCCCCGGCUAACUACGUGCCAGCAGCCGCGGUAAUACGUAGGGGGCAAGCGUUAUCCGGAUUUACUGGGUGUAAAGGGAGCGCAGGCGGCGUGGCAAGUCAGAUGUGAAAACCCGGGGCCCAACCCCGGGAGUGCAUUUGAAACUGCCAUGCUGGAGUGCCGGAGAGGUAAGCGGAAUUCCUAGUGUAGCGGUGAAAUGCGUAGAUAUUAGGAGGAACACCAGUGGCGGAGGCGGCUUACUGGACGGUAACUGACGCUGAGGCCCGAAAGCGUGGGGAGCAGACAGG